ACAGCCGAGAAAAGGAGCGCAGCUCAAACCCAAAACGAGAAACAAUGAGUCCUGUUGAUGGGGUCUACAUUUUAAUGAAGUCGGCAAGUUCCCGGUAGCGCGCAGGAGCCCGUAUAGCCGAGUUGCGGCUGCAUAGCGCGCGCCACCCAACCAGCAGUGAUUUCUACUAAGCGAUAUCCUUCUUAACACAAAGCAGCCUUCAUCUUCUCCCGUCCGGGCGCGGCUGCUGCUGCUUCUUCGUGAGCCCGCAGAAGGUCUCGCUCUCGUGAUGCGCGCAACCCUCGAACGAUCGGCUGCGAUAAGGGUCGAGUCUUCGACUCACUGUGUGGAAAGAGUCGAUGCACGGACUGCCGCAUAAAUAACGAGGUACCAAACACGAACAAGCCAACAACAGCACCCACACACUCGGCCGAAAGGACCCGUGACGAUUCGGCGUGCAGCAGCAGCAACGGGCCGCAGGAAAUCAGAUAAAGCGUCGCGCGUGUGUGCAGUUGGCGAUUUUAGAGGCGGAUUAUCCCGCGGCAGCAGCGUGUCGGUACGCGUGUAAUGCUUAUAAGGCGAUCCAUCAGCUGCCGCCGGUGCACCGGAGGACCGACCGGCUAUUUCAACUCUUAUAACGAGAUGAUAGAAAUGAUCACCUGACAACAGCAGGAAAAUCUACACACCAUCAGCAUUGACCUGCGUCGCAUCGCUGCCAGCACCCAUGCCAACAAAACGUAAG